CCAUUCUUGGUCUGUGGCAGGAUACUCUCGUAGUAUGGACAUCUUUCCUUGGGAUGAAUGCAGGUGGCAGUGAUUGUGAUGGUGGGUCAUGGCUUGGACAGAGGUUCAAGCAGAAUGAAGAAGGCUGAAACAGCAAUCAUGAAAAUGGUAGACAAGCUGACUAGGGAAACAAGAUGAUUUCUAGGCAGAAGUGAAAGACCUCUGGGAAGUGGAGACCAUAAAUUUAUUUUGGGGUUCUUCUCCAAAAUGUACGAUUUUCCCCACCAGCUGUCAGCGGCCUGGGCAAGGAAAAUGGACAUUUCAACUGAUCCAGGGUUAACAAACUUCCAAUGCAGUUGCAGACAGUAGGGCAAAGGAGUUAAGGAUAUUGGUGUGAGAAUGGCUAAAGUGAUGGACUCUAUAGUCUAGGGCCUAAUCCCAUGAACUCAAGCAAAAGCUUUCUUUUCCCCUUUCUUUCUUUUUUCUUUUUUUUCCUGAUAGGUUGUGUACUAGAUAUAUACCUAAUAUCACUUUCUGUGAGUAGUCACUCCCUUCCCCGUUCCAUAGGAUUAUGGUGAGGCAAACACAGAAGACUGCCCCCACAAUUGAGGCAGACAAGUGACCCAGAUUUGGCUAAACCUACUAUCCCUUUCCCCUGAAUACAAUGAUUAGUCCAGGGGUGAGCACCAGACCUAAACAAGGCCAAUCAUAGUCCUUCCCUGUAACUGAUAUUUGGGAGGGGUAUCAUAGUUUGAGGCAACAUUAGAUAGGAUGGAAGGCUUCUCCUAUGGAGUUACCUUUGAAGUGAGACCUGAAUAACAAGAAGCAGAGGAAGUAACAAGCACAAAGGUGCUGAGUUGAGAAGGGUCAAGCUGUUCAAGAAAUAAGGAGGCUAGGGGAGAAUGCCGUUCCCAUUGCCGGAACCGCUGUCCCCUUCACUCUUGACCCGGGUAAUUCCCGCUCAACCUUCAGAUUUCAGCCCAGACAUCACUCCCUCCAGUAAGCCCUCCUUGACUUCAAGAGCGGGUCUCCCUUCGCCCCCAGCAGAUGACUGGCCUGUUCCUAGGAUGUAGGGGUCUGUGUUUACCAGACUCGUGUAGUUCAAGGGAGGGAGUGACGGGAUAAGGGAUGCAGGGGGGCGCGUGAUCUCUGCCCGGUGAGAAAGCGAAGCCAACUUUCAAUUUCUCAAGUACAGAUCAAUGCUUGGGGAGCGACAGCAGCGCGCAGAGCGGCCGAUCCCAGGGCGGAAGUGCGUCCUUGGAGCCUUUCUAGGAAACUCGGAGGACCUAGCUCGUCAGUGAUCCUGGGGCUGAAGUGGGGCAUCGCCAGGCGCACAGGGCCAUUUCAGAGAGGUGGUGUGGCAGGGCAGCGGCGAGAUGGGGCUAGGGUGAGCGCGAGAACCGGCGCAAAGCAAGCCUGGAAAGGGUGAGGAGACCCCGGCCUGCCGACCACCUGUUCCUCCUGGGAGUGCGGCGCGCGUUGAUUGGCUGGAGUGCCGCCCGGGUACCGGAAGUGGCUGAUGCCCAUAGCCAGUGAAACCCAGACAACAGCUGCGGGUUCUGAGGCAGCGGGCGGAGCAGCGCGGGGAGCCUGAGGGGAGCGUGUGUGGGGCGGUAGCUGCCUGAGAUUGUGAGAUGGGGACUGAGAACAAGGAGGACUGUCACCUCAGCUCCUUUUUAGGCCCUUCAAUAACAGACCGCUCAUUGGAACACUAGAAGGCAAUUUAGUGACCAAGUUUUGUUGUGCCUGAUCAUAUUAAGGGAAGAAGUUCUCACCUCUCAUUCUAAGAAGAAUUUUCCAACAUAUAUUAAUUCUUUCCCAAGAGAAAUUCUGACAGUGUUUUCAUCGGUGGACCCAACUUUGCCGGCACCGACGAACCUCUAAGUCAUCGAAAUCGCUCGGCCACCACUGCCUCCGGGACCAAGAGGUACUGAUAAGAGCCUCAUCGAGCCCUGAGGCUGGGGCCGCUCUCGGAAGCCUGGGGACCCUUGUCCGUGCGCCACCUGGCGGGCGGGGGCGGGCCGGGGCGGCGCGCGGCGUGAUUGGUCGAGGCCCGGGGUGCCUUUUUGCUGGUGACCGGUGGGGGCCGGAGGCAGAGGUGCGAGGGCUCCGAGAGUGGGCUACUGCGCGCUGCUGACCCCGAAGUCAAGUACUGGGGCGCCCGCCGGACGGGACCUGGGCUGGCGUCUCUCAGGCCGCCGUGAUUUGUCGUUUGUGAGGACGUUUCACAUCCCAGGGUGGGAUCUAUUCCGCCGUUCCCUGAUGUUCAUGGAGUCCUUGCCGCGGCCCAGGUUCUUUCGAAUUUCCAACCAGGCCAAUUAAGAUACUUAUCUAAUAACUAAUUAUUAAAAUUUAAUUUAGUGGCAGUGGGAAAGGACAUACUCAAGGUACAGAGGGCAGGUUUGGCUUCAGAAAGAAGGAAGAAAGCACUAUCCUCUGAGGCUGCUGGAGGAACUGAGACGACAGAUGUGGAGGGAAUGAGCACAGGGUGGCCAGCAGAGUUGAUUAUUUGAGGCCUUUUGCUAAGAAGGGUGAUUAAGCAUUGGAGUGGGCAGAUUACCCAAAACAUCAUCUAGAAAGGAGAAAAAUGCUUCUGUGCCCCUGAUCUGCUGGUUAUGUCGGCAUUCUCUGAGCUGGGUUGUGGUGGGGACAGGGCGGAACUUUAGUCACAGGACUAUAAUCCACACUCCACUCCAUUGACUCCCAAGUGGGAGGAAUCCCAGGAGUGCAGCGAAUGUGGGAGAGACCCGAGGGGUCUUCAUGCGGUCGGGUGGAGCUGAGAUUCUCUGCAUCAGAGAGUUCACACUGGUGAGCAACCCAGCUAAUGUAAUGAAUUCCACCUUCAGACAGAAUUCCCACCUUGGAAUUCAUCAGAAAACUUGUACUGGAGAGGCCCUUGGAAUACCAAUGCGGAAAAGCCUCUGAUCAGAACUCUCACCAGUUUCAGCAUCAGAGCAUCCACAGUGCACAGCGAUCUGGGGAUUUACUCACUGUAGGACACUUUCAUUCCGACCUGAAACUUUGCUCUGAUCUUUCCUCUUCUCUACCGAUGUCACUAGACUGGAAAUGCCCUUUGUGCCAGCUAAUUUUGUCCUGCUCCUUGAGGACAGGGCUACCUUGUUGUAGAAGAGCGUAUCGCAUUCAGCCCAGGGUUGCCACUCAAAAAUUAACCAAUGAAUGACUUAAAUAAAUAAGAGGCCAUAAAUGAUGAAUUGGACAUUUCAAAUUUAAUUAACUGAAUGUAGAAUCAUAAUGCCUUUGCUGUCCUUUAUUUUUCUAUGCAGAUCCUUUAUCCCCUAAAAUGAUGGCCAUGGCAUUAAAGGUCUAUAUCACCCAUCUAAUAUAAAUUAUAUCUCUUUAUGUGAUAUGGGGACACGUAAAAUGUUAAACAUUGAACCAAAACCUUUCUUUAGCUGAGGGAAUUGAUCCACUAUACGAUUUACUCAAAUACAAGAUAGCCACAGAUUGCUUUAAACACACCUCUUCUCCUUGCAACUUUCAGCACUGAAACAAAACAAAACCCAAAUCAGAUACUUCACCUGUACCAUCCUCAAAAUCUUUCUUUCAUAAGAGGCUUUGUUUACUUCUUGAUCUCGUUUCUGUUUUUAUACAUUAUUUCCAUCUUCUUGGAUAUAUUAUAUUUUUUUCUUCAUGUGAGCUAUAUCUUAAAUGUAUUUGCUGGGAUUCAGUAUUCUUACUUUUGCAGCUGCUUCAGCAUCAUCACAGGCUUAUGUUUUCUUCAUAUGUAGUAGUAUGCUCAGGAUAAUCUUGAAAAUUAGUUGUUCUUGUGUGUUUUGUUUUGUUUUGUUGGCUGAGCCACACAGCUUGUGGGAUCUUAGUUCCCUGAGCAGGGGUUGAACCUGGGCCCUCAGCAGUGAAAGCGUGGAGUCCUAACCACUGGAUGGCCAGGGAAUUCCUUGAAAAUUAGUUUUUAAAUGACUUGUUAUUGAAAGGAUUAGAAUCUAUUGCAGGACAAACCAUAUGUUGGGAGCCUCACUAUCUACAGCAGAACCCUGCCAGGCUGGAUGUUCUGUCCGUUGAAUACAGGCAACGCCUCUUUAACUCCUUUCUUUCUUUCUUCCUUUCUCCCUUCCUUCCUCCUUCCUCCUUUCUUCUUUCCUUCCUUCCUUCCUUUCUCUUUCUUUCCUUCUUUCUU